GUUGAUGUCCUUAAUAUCAUCAAAAUGUUUUCCUUUCAAUGUUUUCAUUACCUUCACAGAAAGGAAUAAGUCAUAAUGGACAGAUGAGACAAGUAGGGAGGAUGAUGAAGAUCAGGAGGAAGAGGGGGAGGAAGAUGAAGAAGAGGAAGAGGAGGAGGAGCAGGAGGAGGAGGAGGAGGAGGUGGAGGCCAAACCAAGAGUGAAAAUGAUGUUGCUCACUAUUAACUCCCUCACAGACAGUGCUAUGUGAUCUGGUGCCUUGUCAUCAUGGAAGAGCUAUGACUUUUUGGCUACAAAUUCAGACCUUUUCUGUUGAAUUUUUUUAUCUAGCCUUUUUAAUACUUCCCAAACUCAACUUGUUUGCAGGUUAAAGAAUGCUACAUUGUCAGAAAUUUGUUGAAGUGCAUUCAAGAUAGGAACUCUUCAUCUGGCCUACAAAGUUUCUGCUGGGAAAUCAGCUCCCAAGUAGCUAGGGCUACAGCUGUGGACAAGUGCUAGACAGAAUCUUGGCAGGAUUCUGUGGUGGAAUAUCUCUGCACAUUGUUACAUCCAUCAGCUUGUCUUUAGGAGGCUGGUCCACCUGAACUAAAGGUCAUACAGGAGGCUCUGAAGCUCAUUUAGAAUUCAAGGGCAUCAAGGCCAGAGUCCAGAGACAUUAUAAGCGAGUCAAUGCUUCAAUUCAAUUGGACCAUUUUC